GACGAACGCUGGCGGCGCGCCUAACACAUGCAAGUCGAACGAGCGAGAGAGAGCUUGCUUUCUUGAGCGAGUGGCGAACGGGUGAGUAACGCGUGAGGAACCUGCCUCAAAGAGGGGGACAACAGUUGGAAACGACUGCUAAUACCGCAUAAGCCCACGGUGCCGCAUGGCACAGAGGGAAAAGGAGCAAUCCGCUUUGAGAUGGCCUCGCGUCCGAUUAGCUGGUUGGUGAGGUAACGGCCCACCAAGGCGACGAUCGGUAGCCGGACUGAGAGGUUGAACGGCCACAUUGGGACUGAGACACGGCCCAGACUCCUACGGGAAGCAGCAGUGGGGAAUAUUGCACAAUGGGGGAAACCCUGAUGCAGCGACGCCGCGUGGAGGAAGAAGGUCUUCGGAUUGUAAACUCCUGUUGUUGGGGAAGAUAAUGACGGUACCCAACAAGGAAGUGACGGCUAACUACGUG
rnacentral:rRNA from 1 species